UAACGCGUGGGUAACCUGCCUCNCNNUGGGGGAUAACAGUUAGAAAUAGCUGCUAAUACCGCAUAAGCGCACGGUUCCGCAUGGAACAGUGUGAAAAACUCCGGUGGUGUGAGAUGGACCCGCGUCUGAUUAGCCAGUUGGCGGGGUAACGGCCCACCAAAGCGACGAUCAGUAGCCGGCCUGAGAGGGUGAACGGCCACAUUGGGACUGAGACACGGCCCAAACUCCUACGGGAGGCAGCAGUGGGGAAUAUUGCACAAUGGGGGAAACCCUGAUGCAGCGACGCCGCGUGAGUGAAGAAGUAUUUCGAUAUGUAAAGCUCUAUCAGCAGGGAAGAAAGUGACGGUACCUGAAUAAGAAGCCCCGGCUAACUACGUGCCAGCAGCCGCGGUAAUACGUAGGGGGCAAGCGUUAUCCGGAUUUACUGGGUGUAAAGGGAGCGUAGACGGCAAGGCAAGUCUGAAGUGAAAGCCCGGUGCUUAACGCCGGGACUGCUUUGGAAACUGUUUGGCUGGAGUGCCGGAGAGGUAAGCGGAAUUCCUAGUGUAGCGGUGAAAUGCGUAGAUAUUAGGAAGAACACCAGUGGCGAAGGCGGCUUACUGGACGGUAACUGACGUUGAGGCUCGAAAGCGUGGGGAGCAAACAGGAUUAGAUACCCUGGUAGUCCACGCCGUAAACGAUGAUUGCUAGGUGU
rnacentral:rRNA from 1 species